rnacentral:rRNA from 1 species
AGGGAAUAUUGGACAAUGGGGGCAACCCUGAUCCAGCCAUGCCGCGUGAGUGAAGAAGGCCCUCGGGUUGUAAAGCUCUUUUGUCCGGAAAGAAAAGCAUUCGGUGAAUACCCGGAUGUUCUGACGGUACCGGAAGAAUAAGCACCGGCUAACUUCGUGCCAGCAGCCGCGGUAAUACGAAGGGUGCAAGCGUUACUCGGAAUUACUGGGCGUAAAGCGUGCGUAGGUGGUUGUUUAAGUCUGAUGUGAAAGCCCUGGGCUCAACCUGGGAAUGGCAUUGGAAACUGGGCAGCUAGAGUGCGGUAGAGGGUAGUGGAAUUCCCGGUGUAGCAGUGAAAUGCGUAGAGAUCGGGAGGAACAUCUGUGGCGAAGGCGACUGCCUGGACCAACACUGACACUGAGGCACGAAAGCGUGGGGA